GGGACCGUAGGAUCACCUGGUCAUCGCCGCGACGGGAGACAGGAAGCCGGUGCGAUUCCGGCACGGUCCCGCCA
rnacentral:tRNA from 1 species